GUGGGGAAUCUUGCACAAUGGGCGAAAGCCUGAUGCAGCGAUUCCGCGUGGAGGAUGAAGCAUUACGGUGUGUAAACUCCUUUUCUGGUGGAAGACGAAUGACGGUACACCAGGAAUAAGGGACGGCUAACUACGUGCCAGCAGCCGCGGUAAUACGUAGGUCCCAAGCGUUAUCCGGAUUUACUGGGCGUAAAGUGUCCGUAGCCCGGUAUAUAAGUCUGUUUUCAAAUGCCACGACUCAAUCGUGGAAAGGGAAUAGAUACUGUAUACCUAGAGAAUAUUGGAGGUUAGUGGAAUUUCCGGUGGAGCGGUGAAAUGCGUUGAUAUCGGAAAGAACGCCGAAAGCGAAAGCAGCUAACUAUGAUUAUUCUGACGGUGAUGGACGACAGCUUGAGUAGCAAACGGGAUUAGAAACCCUGGUAGUCC
rnacentral:rRNA from 1 species